rnacentral:rRNA from 1 species
UGGGGAAUAUUGGACAAUGGGCGAAAGCCUGAUCCAGCCAUGCCGCGUGUGUGAAGAAGGUCUUCGGAUUGUAAAGCACUUUAAGUUGGGAGGAAGGGCAGUAAGCGAAUACCUUGCUGUUUUGACGUUACCGACAGAAUAAGCACCGGCUAACUCUGUGCCAGCAGCCGCGGUAAUACAGAGGGUGCAAGCGUUAAUCGGAAUUACUGGGCGUAAAGCGCGCGUAGGUGAUUCGUUAAGUUGAAUGUGAAAGCCCCGGGCUCAACCUGGGAACUGCAUCCAGAACUGGCGAGCUAGAGUAGGGCAGAGGGGGGUGGAAUUUCCUGUGUAGCGGUGAAAUGCGUAGAUAUAGGAAGGAACACCAGUGGCGAAGGCGACCACCUGGGCUCAUACUGACACUGAGGUGCGAAAGCGUGGGGAGCAAACAGG